UACGUAGGGUGCAAGCGUUGUCCGGAAUUAUUGGGCGUAAAGAGCUCGUAGGCGGUCUGUUGCGUCGGCUGUGAAAACCCGGGGCUCAACCCCGGGCCUGCAGCCGAUACGGGCAGACUAGAGUUCGGCAGGGGGAGACUGGAAUUCCUGGUGUAGCGGUGAAAUGCGCAGAUAUCAGGAGGAACACCGGUGGCGAAAGGCGGGGUCUCUGGGG
rnacentral:rRNA from 1 species